UACGAAGGUGGCUAGCGUUACUCGGAAUUACUGGGCGUAAAGCGCGUGUAGGCGGUCUCUCAAGUCAGAUGUGAAAUCCCAAGGCUUAACUUUGGAACUGCAUUUGAAACUGAGAGGCUAGAAUUUGGUAGAGGACAGUGGAAUUCCUAGUGUAGUAGUGAAAUACGUAGAUAUUAGGAGGAACACCAGUGGCGAAGGCGACUGUCUGGGCCAAUAUUGACGCUAAGACGCGAAAGCGUGGGGAGCAAACAGG
rnacentral:rRNA from 1 species